UAGCAAUACGGAGUGGCAGACGGGUGAGUAACGCGUGGGAACCUUCCCAGUGGUACGGAAUAGCUCAGGGAAACCUGGGGUAAUACCGUAUACGCCCUUCGGGGGAAAGAUUUAUCGCCAUUGGAUGGGCCCGCGUAGGAUUAGCUAGUUGGUGAGGUAAUGGCUCACCAAGGCGACGAUCCUUAGCUGGUCUGAGAGGAUGAUCAGCCACACUGGGACUGAGACACGGCCCAGACUCCUACGGGAGGCAGCAGUGGGGAAUAUUGGACAAUGGGCGCAAGCCUGAUCCAGCCAUGCCGCGUGAGUGACGAAGGCCUUAGGG
rnacentral:rRNA from 1 species